rnacentral:lncRNA from 1 species
GGGACUCCGGCCUCUCCUGCCACCGCCCUCGCCAGCAGCGUCUUGCCGGUACCCGGCGGACCCACCAAGAGACAACCUUUAGGAAUCUUCGCCCCCAAAGCCGUAUACUUGUCCGGGUUCUUCAAGAAGUCCACCACUUCCUGCAACUCAAGUUUGGCCUGGUCGGCUCCGGCGACAUCAGCGAAGGUGACACCGGUCUCCGGAACCUCCUGGAACUUAGAUUUGGACCGGCCAAAGUCCAUCGGCCCGCCAAGCCCACCCGGCCCGCCCCCAGGUCCCCCCUGGGACCGGCGGAAGAGGAAAAAGAGACCGGCAAAGGCGAGAAAGGGGAAGAUCAGAUUCCCGAUGAAAUUAAACAGCCCAUUGCCGGCGUCCCCCUCCGAGACCGAGAUGUCCACGCCGUUCAUCGCCAGGAUGUCGAUCAGGUCGGGAUCGUUGGGGACGAUGACGGCGGCCCGGCGGCCAUCGACAGCCGUGAGCUGAAGCACCCCGCCGUCCUUGCUGAAGCGGACGCGCUCGACCUUGCCCUUCUUGACGGCAUCGAGGAACUCGCUGUAGCGCCACUGGGAGCCCUCGGGGAGGUCCGAGGACGUCUGCGGCCUGGGGGCCGUGAGGAGGGACUGGGCGAAGGGGUUGUCGGGCUUGGAGGCGGCAUCGAACUGGACGGCGGGCGGCGAAGUGGGAGGCGGGACCGGGGCGACGUCCUCGGCGAUGGCGACCGGGGGGAGGGAGGAAAGGAGGAAGGCGGCGGCCGCGGCAACGGAAGGGGACAGGGUGAGGCGGUUGUCGUUGCUAUUCUUGUUGCGAUCGAGGAGUGAUCGAAUGGAGUUGGUUCGUCUCGGGAGGAGGAGGAGGAGGGUAGGGUUGGGCGUGGAUUUCGGACGGAG